rnacentral:rRNA from 1 species
UACGUAGGGUGCAAGCGUUAAUCGGAAUUACUGGGCGUAAAGCGUGCGCAGGCGGUGAUGUAAGACAGAUGUGAAAUCCCCCGGGGCUCAAGCCUGGGGAACUGCAUUUGUGACUGCACAGCUGGAGUGCGGCAGAGGGGGAUGGAAUUCCGCGUGUAGCAGUGAAAUGCGUAGAUAUGCGGAGGAACACCGAUGGCGAAGGCAAUCCCCUGGGCCUGCACUGACGCUCAUGCACGAAAGCGUGGGGAGCGAACAGG